AGCUGGAUAGCUCAGUUGGCUAGAGUGUGGUGCUGAUAACACCAAGGUUGCAGGUUCAAUCCCCGUCAGUCAGCUG